AAAGACUUCUUUAAAAAAGCGUUUUUGUUAAGGAGUCUGGGAAUCAUGGAAUCAUAGUGACCAGUAACUGUUAUGGACUGGAUUGUAUCCCCCUCCAAUUCAGUUAUGGUGCUGCUUCAGAAAGAAAAGAGAUAGUUUCCCUUGCAAAGUUAUCAAAGUGCUCCCCAGAAGACAUUAGGUAUUUGCUUUCUAGUCUACAUACAAUGAAAAGGAAAAAACGUCAGUUCCUGAAGCUCUCUCAAAACAUCAACAGAUGGAAAGACGUGCCCAUGUCCUCCCCUCCCUCCACUCUGGGGGCUUGGAAAUGCUGCAGCAGGGAGCAGGCCCCAGGCUGGACCUGCCCUGUCCUCACGACGAGUGUGUGCAAAAGUGAACAAUAAAUCAUUUCAAAGAUGCAAGGAAGAAAAACCAAAACAUCAACAGAAUCUUCUUUCCCAUAAUCUUCAUGCACCUCCUGGUCCGGAUGAGUUUAUGUUCCCAUCUCCGAGCACAGGGAUUGAUUGUGAUGGCAUUUAUAGGACUGAGUGCCCCACACUCUGUGAUCCAGCAUGGAGUUAUGAUUUACAUCACCACAGGAAGAGUACAGAGGCUUCAACAGAAAAAAAGCAAAAACAACAGACCUUCAUUCAGCUUAGGAACAUAAUAAAUAGGACGAAGUUGAAUAAACGAAAUGGAGGGGAGUGAAGUAUUCCAGAUGGAAGAGGCAGUACGUGGCCAAGAGGAAACAGACCAUGUGCGCUGGAGAAAAAGGAUGGCCAGACUUGCAGAAACCUGGAAUUGGUGAUUGGCUUUAGAAGUGGAGAGACAAAAAAGGAGGCAUAGAAAGUGCCAACAUUUGGCUACACAGGGAAGAAAGACGUAAAAUAAUAAAAACAUUGGCAUCACCUGUAGACUCAAAUCCUGUGAGUGAAGGACCUGAGCAAUGAAGGAUGGAUUGAACUCGUGAUUAGCCUUCUUCAGCAUAUGUAAAAUGAUGUCUGCUUUUCUUCUCUAUUUGUCAUUUUACCGACUUUUUAUAUAUAGUAGUUUCCCCAUAUCCAUGGAGGAUGUAUCCCAAGACCCCCAGAGGAUGCUUGAAACCACAGAUAAUAACAAACUCUAUGUAUCCUAUGAUUUUUCCUGUACAUCCUUACCUAUCAUAAAGUGAGUGUAUAAACUAGGCACAGGAGAUUAAAAACAAUAACUCAUAAUAAAAUAGAACAAUUAGUACAACCUAAUGAAAGUUAUCUGAAUGUGAUCUCUCUCAAAAUAUCUUAUUGUAGUGUACCAUGGGUAACUGAAAUGAUAGAAAACAAAAUUGCUGAUAAAGGGGGAUAUUGUAGUAAAAUAAAGGGGGAUGGGUAGAGCGUAGGAAGCAUUCACAAUUAGAACAGUUGGCAGUAGGGAAAGAAACAUACUUUAAAUUGGAAUGUGGAUCACAUGGCUGCCUCCUGCCAGUCAUGAUCGCAGGGUACAGAGGCCUCUGGUAUGUCAGGUCUUCUCUCCCACCACUAAUACUGCCCAAAAGACUCCAUCAGCAACCAGAGCUGAAUCACACACAACCCAGAUUGUCAUUUCUGAUGACUUUGACUUAAACAAACAGACAUAUUUUUAAUCUUUUUAGUGUGUGUGAAACUAGCAAGGCCUAAUGAAUUGAGUAUAUGGAUGAGGUUUGUGGCCUCUGUAACGUUUUCUCCAACCAGAACCUACUGAAAUAGCACAGAUGGUGAUGAGUAUGGUUCAAACACAAGAAUUCUUGGAAAUUGAAGUUGAAGUAUAAGGAGAAUUUUUACAUCACCCAGGUUCUAAUUUGGAAGGUUUCUAACAGCCCUCUGUCCUCUUCUGGUGCUCACUGUGAAAGAAUUUGCACCCUGCAACACUAAGUGUUUGUGCUAGAAUCCACUUCUGAUGUUGGCUGCUCUGACACAGCUUCCAUUCGGCAGGGUCUCACUCUUGUCGCCCAGACUGCAUUGCAGUGGGGUGAUCUCGGCUCAUUGCAACCUCUGUCUCCCGGAUUCAAGCAAUUCUCCUGCCUCAGCCCCCCAAGUAGCUGGGUUUACAGGUAUGUGCAACCAUGCCCAGCUAAUUUUUUUUUGUAUUUUUUUCAGUAGACAUGGUUUUUUUUUUUAAAUUUUAUUAUUAUUAUACUUUAAGUUUUAGGGUACAUGUGCGCAACGUGCAGAUUUGUUACAUAUGUAUAUAUGUGCCAUGUUGGUGUGCUGCACCCAUUAACUCGUCAUUUAGCAUUAGGUAUAUCUCCUAAUGCUAUCCCUCCCCACUCCCACCACCCCACAACAGUCC
rnacentral:lncRNA from 1 species